rnacentral:rRNA from 1 species
UAGGGAAUCUUCGGCAAUGGGGGGAACCCUGACCGAGCAACGCCGCGUGAGUGAAGAAGGUUUUCGGAUCGUAAAGCUCUGUUGUUAAGGAAGAACGAGUGUGAGAAUGGAAAGUUCAUGCUGUGACGGUACUUAACCAGAAAGGGACGGCUAACUACGUGCCAGCAGCCGCGGUAAUACGUAGGUCCCGAACGUUGUCCGGAUUUAUUGGGCGUAAAGCGAGCGCAGGCGGUUAGAAAAGUCUGAAGUGAAAGGCAGUGGCUCAACCAUUGUAGGCUUUGGAAACUGUUUAACUUGAGUGCAGAAGGGGAGAGUGGAAUUCCAUGUGUAGCGGUGAAAUGCGUAGAUAUAUGGAGGAACACCGGUGGCGAAAGCGGCUCUCUGGUCUGUAACUGACGCUGAGGCUCGAAAGCGUGGGGAGCGAACAGG